rnacentral:rRNA from 1 species
AACGAACGCUGGCGGCAUGCCUUACACAUGCAAGUCGAACGGUAACGGGCCUUCGGGUGCCGACGAGUGGCGAACGGGUGAGUAAUGUAUCGGAACGUACCUUUCAGUGGGGGGAUAACGUAGCGAAAGUUACGCUAAUACCGCAUAUUCUGUGAGCAGGAAAGCAGGGGAUCGCAAGACCUUGCGCUGAUUGAGCGGCCGAUAUCAGAUUAGCUAGUUGGUGAGGUAAAGGCUCACCAAGGCUACGAUCUGUAGCGGGUCUGAGAGGAUGAUCCGCCAAACUGGAACUGAGACACGGUCCAGACUCCUACGGGAGGCAGCAGUGGGGAAGUAUGGACAAUGGGGGCAACCCUGAUCCAGCCAUGCCGCGUGAGUGAAGAAGGCCGUCGGGUUGUAAAGCUCUUUCGGCCGGGAAGAAAUCGUAUCAGCUAAUACCUGGUGCGGAUGACGGUACCGGAAUAAGAAGCACCGGCUAACUACGUGCCAGCCGCCGCCGUAAAAC